GUGUAUUAGUUAUACUUUAAUACAGAGUUUAUGGCAAAUAUACUUAAUUCACAAAAUUACUUGGUAUAAAUUACCUGGUUAUGUUUAAUGCGUGGAUAUCCCACAUUUUUUUUCUUUCAUUAUCCUUUUAACCCUUUUUUGAUUUUCUUUGCGGGCUCCACUCUCUUUCUUCCCUUUUUGACUUUUAUCUAUGUCUCCUCCCUAAACACAUGUUUCUGUGGAAAUUUUGUGCAGAUUUGUUUGAAAAGAUUUUACUUCACAAAUUGAGGGAUUUGUUUGGAUUUUGUUUGGACUUUUAGAUGAACUUUUCUCACACCCCUCUUCUCCUUGAUAUUUAACACCCAGCCUCCAGAGAUCCCCGGAGAGUUCUCUCAUUCUCAUCUCUUUAGUUUUUUUUGGCAAAAUAUGUUUUUCUCCUUUUCAUUUGUUUACAUUCAGCUGACCCCCCAUUCCUUUCCUAACUCCAACUAUCUCUUUUCACUUGUGGCAGAAUUAUUCCCUCACCUUAAUCAUUUUCAUUCUCUUCUUUUCUUCAAACAAACACACUUCUUUUGUACAUACACAGUUACAAACAUUUACAUAUGUAAACAUAGAAUUGUAUAUACUACCUUAACAUAUACAUAGAUUAUAUUUCUCUUUUCAUUUUGGCACUGUCGGAUAAGCUUCACUGGGAAACACCAUUUACUAGAUCUGGCCGAUGAAGAAAUUUCCGUCGAUUUCCAAGGCCUUCCAUGCACAAAGACGGGUUUUUAUUUUAAGUUUAUUCAUUAUUUAUUUAAUUCAUCCGAUAGUUAUUUAUUCUCUUACUAACAUUUUUACUAAGUCUCAUGCAGGUAUCCAGAGUUUCUUCUCGAAGAUGACACUCAAAGGAAGUUCAAAUAGCUUCUAAAAUUCUUUGUUUAUUUUUUUUUACAUCCUUAAAAUUAUACAAAGCAUAAGAUAUAAUGAAACUUUACUUUUUAGGGUGCAGGUUGGUAGUAUUUAUUUAUGAUCUGCUUAUGUGAUUUAAAAUUUUAUGUGUUUUAGACAAAUUAAUAUUAGGCAGUUAUUACUUCAUUUCAAAGCUAUACUUUUCUUCUAUUCUUUAUUUAUAUCACAUCAUUCACAAUGUUGUGCUAUAUCUGUUAAUAUUCUUGACAUUUUUUUGGUUAACUUAAAUCAUCUUUUUGAAAUAAUUUCUUGAAUAUUUGUGAACAUCCCUUAAACUCGUUAUAGCUUCUGAAAAUAAAAAUCAUUAUGUUCGGUCAUAUUCGUUCAUUGUUAAGUAUUUACCUUUAUGAUAUAUUCAUGUAAAGCUAAAAUUGUUAGUCGGUGUAAUUGUGCACUUUGUUCACUUGUAAAUAAUCAUGUAAUACGUAUUUUAUACAUAUGUAAAUAUUUACACCUUUUACUACAUGAACAUUCAUAUUAAUAAUAAUCAAGCCUUUUUACACAAUCCCUCGUAUAAUUAAAAGUGGUCCAGCCGGGAACCACAUUUGUGGAUUCUAAAGGAUGCCUAAUACCUUCCCUUUAGACUAAUUGAACCCUUACCUAGAUCUUUUGGUUUCGUAGACUUUAAAAUAAAAUCAACUUUAAAAACUAACUUUAAUGAAUUUUAGGUGACCUAAUUCACCAUAAAUAAUUAGGUGGCGACUCUGUACAUAAUUAAUCCUUUUAGAGCCCCUAAGUUGUACUUUGUUUUGCCUUGGUAAAAAUAGGGUGCAACACCGGUCAUACAACGUUUAUGUCUAAUGAAUGACCCGAAACAAUUGACUUGGCAAGUUUACUCCGGGGUUAACAAGUGUCUCUCAUUCGACCAAGCUAAACGACUAAGCAGUGUUUCGUCUUCAAAUGCCACGUGUUCCUUUCUCAUCAUGCCAUGUGUCAAGCUAUAUUUUAUCAUGUAUAUAGAUAUAUUUUAUCAUGUAUAUAAAUAGUCCCCGCACUCUUCGGUGGAGAGUAAUGACACCAGGGAGUGAAUUUAAAACGCCACCAAACCUAUCUCCACUUAAUGGCGGGAAAAUGAAUCGUCCCAUCGAUUCAUUCAAAAAAGACAACUGUCGAACUUUGAAUUCAAUGCUUGUGCAGCGAAUUGCCGGCAACCUUUCAAUCACAAUGAUUGACAUAAAACUGUCGUUUCUGGAAAGUUGUGCCUCUUUGAAUGUCAAACACUUCGUCUUCCUCAAUUAAGUGUACAUAACUCAAGAAAUCAAGCCCAAAUUCAGCCAAAUCUUUCCUUUCCUAAAACGAGAGAAAGUUCUCAUGAAAAUUUCCUUAUUUUCAUCUUUUCCUUUCUUGCAAAGAUUCCAACUAUGUUUGUUUCUUCAUCCCCCAAUAACACUCCAUCUCCUGGACGUCGCUCUGGGAAAGCUCCAAUUUCACCAACAAGCCAAUAAGUCGACCUUAAUUGCCUUGCUGUUGAUAUUCUUCCUGUUGGGUUUAAAUAUCAUGAAGAUUUUAGAGCCGUCAACCACCAUCAAUCUGUUGAGGAAAUCGAAUCCUUCAUAAAUGUUGAUACUAUCCCCAAGUUCAAGAGGACUGCAACUUCACUCCCGAAGUUGAAAUUUUUGUUGUUAACUCUGAAGCCAGGAUGAACCAUCACUUCGAAAGUUUCUCCAUAGUUUACACCUAUCCCUUUGCGAUAGGUUUCAAUCUCCCAAUUCCCCAAAUCAUUAAAGACUUUUGCCGCCGAUACUGAGUUUGUAUCGGUCAACUUGCUCCUCAAAUCUGAUGCCUGGUCUAUUGUAUUCAAAUUCUGGCAGAUCAGGCUGGUAUUACAUUCACUCUAUACCACUUGAUGUAUUUGUACGCUCCCCGGUUAUUUCGCAUAGGGUUGGUUCAUUUACAUCCUCAUGGAAGACGCUGCUUAGUCAACCCGGAGGAUGAUUUUGACCGAAAAUGGCUUCAUAGGUUUGCAAUGAUCCGAACAUGCCAUCUUCAAUGUAUUACUCCCGAACCAUUUUCGGAGGCAUGGAAUAACACUCAUAAGCCUUUUGUUUACUAUUUUUACCUUUCUUCUUCCUAUAUUAUUGUUUUUCCUUUUGCUUAAUCCCUCUUUUCGUAUGCUAUUUCAUAGCGGUUCCUGUAGAGCCUGAACUCCUAGUCGGGAUUUUCUAAUGGGUUGUUGCACUGUUGCAUGCUACACCCAACAUGACUCGAUCUUGGAGAAGUGUGACCUCCGAUUGGUGGAAGAGAAAAAGCCACGGUCUUCUUGUGAGACAGGUCACUUCCCAAAGAGUCCCUACUCAAAAAACUGCCAUGUCCAACAUUGUCAAUACUGCUUUUUCCAUCCGAAAGCGUAAGCCAAAUGAUGCGUUAAAUCUCCGAUAGGAAUUGGUUCUAGAGUACGGACCCGACGCCGGCUUAUGGAAGUGUGGUGCAAAGCACAACAGGAUACAUUGCCCAAGGUGGUUUUGAUUGAUGAUGAUAAUGAGCGGCCUUAAGCUGGCAGUCCCCAGGACCCUUUGCAUGAUGAUUCUAACAAAGCAUCCGGGGAACCAAAGGUUUUCUCUGCUGAAUUGUGUCCAGGAAAUCCUACUGCUCCUGUCUAUCAAUCAUCACAAAGAAGCUUCAUUCCACUAGUUGAAGCCGAAACCUCGGGCUUAUCUUCUCGUCCAGAACCUCCGGUGAUCAAUUUAGAAUUCUCCCUAGCUCACCCAGCUAAUCUAUUUGUUCAGGGUCAUGCGGCUGCCACCUUUACUACUGAAUUUGCACAAUUGAUUGCUCCCUCCCGUGGAGAAGUCAAGCUCCAAGAAGAUAAAAAUCUCUAAGGAAUGAAGUUGAGAGGCUACAGGCUGAGAUUCGAGACUCGGAUUCCCUCCAGGCUUCCCUGAAAAUGCGCUUGGAAGAUGCGGCUAAUUGUUACACCUUGUAGUUUUCUACAUUAAGAUUCGUCGUACUUUAGCUGUCUUAAUUUUGUACACCGGGAUUUGUUUCAAAGAUAUAUAAGGUUGGACAUGUUUAACUUGUAUUUAUGAGUGUUUAAAGUAUUCUUAGUGUGUUACGGUAGGAUUGGAGAGCAAGUGAAUUAAGGAAAGUAAGUUUGUUGGAACUUUAGAGAAAGGAUGGGCAAAGUUUCGUACGAUAAUUUUGGUCUAACUUGAUAAAGGAAUAUCUCCUAGUAUAUCAGGAAUUUUAAGGUGGAACAAAAGCCUAAAUUGAAGUUUAGUAAGUCUAGUUUCCAACGCAACAAACCGCGCGUCAAU